CAAAAAACCUUUCACCACAAAGUUGCAUGAAAAUUCCGGCGGCAGCCAAUUUUUGCACCAAAUCAACGUUUUACAUGAGUCAUGCAACUUUCGUAUUGCAUUCAUGUCAACACUGCUUGAUUUUCACGCAGCUCACACUCACACAACUAAAUGUCUCGUGAAAUUCAUGCCUGAAAAUUUGGAGGCGUGGCUUGCAGUCAGCUGAGUUUUAGUUUGCAUGAUUAUCACGCAACAUCCGCAUGUAAACUGGUAUGGAAAAAAUCCAUACACUAUUUCAUGCAGCAUUGUGGUGAAAAAUUGGUUGAGGUAGCAUGAAAUUCCUGUCUGCAAAUUUUGUUGAGCUCGGUUACCGGGACUUAGCCAAUUUCAUUUCAGUUGAUUUUUGGUUCUUUAGCCGAACGGACUUGGCAGAAAUCCGUGGCCGGUUUUUUUUGCUGGAUAAAUUGAAGUAAGAUUUAUUAAUAAAUUCAAAUUAAUUCUUCGUGAUGCUGAAGUUGCCGUGUUUUGAUGGUGAACGAGAGGAAAGAUUUCAUAAGCCGGGGGACAAAGGCUUUCAGUAAGACUGUCAAGUAACCGGAUGUUGGAGUGAGUCUGGGAGGACGAUUUAAACGAGACCACCCCGAAAACCUUCAGCGGAAAUGAGUGGCAGAAGCAGAUAUGCGUGUGAGAAAAACGUGAAAACUGUGUGUUAAUAAUUAGUACGCCGGUUAUAAAAUUGUGAAUUGAAAGUGUGUGUUCUAUUUUUGUGUUAAGUGAUAAUAAAAAUUAAACAUCUUUCUGACUGCAAA
rnacentral:lncRNA from 1 species